UACGUAGGGUGCGAGCGUUGUCCGGAAUUAUUGGGCGUAAAGGGCUCGUAGGCGGUCCAUCGCGUCGGGAGUGAAAAGCUGGGGCUUAACCCCAGUCCUGCUUUCGAUACGGGUGGACUAGAGGUAGGCAGGGGAGAAUGGAAUUCCUGGUGUAGCGGUGAAAUGCGCAGAUAUCAGGAGGAACACCAAUGGCGAAGGCAGCUCGCUGGGACGGUACUGACGCUGAGACGCGAAAGCGUGGGGAGCAAACAGG
rnacentral:rRNA from 1 species